GAUUCCCCUAGUAACGGCGAGUGAACCGGCAAGAGCUCAAAUUUGAAAUCUGGCGUGCUCAGUGCGUCCGAGUUGUAAUCUAUAGAAGCGUUUUCCGUGCCGGACCGUGUCCAAGUCCCUUGGAACAGGGUAUCAAAGAGGGUGACAAUCCCGUACUUGACACGACGACCGGUGCUCUGUGAUACGUUUUCUACGAGUCGAGUUGUUUGGGAAUGCAGCUCAAAAUGGGUGGUGAACUCCAUCUAAAGCUAAAUAUUGGCGAGAGACCGAUAGCGAACAAGUACCGUGAGGGAAAGAUGAAAAGCACUUUGGAAAGAGAGUUAAACAGUACGUGAAAUUGUUAAAAGGGAAACGAUUGAAGUCAGUCGUGACCGAGAGGCUCAGCCGGUUAUGCCGGUGUAUUCCCCUCGGUCGGGUCAACAUCAGUUUUGCCCGGUGGAUAAGGACGGCUGGAAGGUAGCACCCUCGGGUGUGUUAUAGCCUACCGUCGCAUACAUCGGGCGAGACUGAGGAAUGCAGCUCGCCUUUAUGGCCGGGGUUCGCCCACGUCCGAGCUUAGGAUGUUGACAUAAUGGCUUUAAAC
rnacentral:rRNA from 1 species